rnacentral:rRNA from 1 species
CAAGAGCGUAUAUUAAAGUUGCUGCGGUUAAAAAGCUCGUAGUUGGAUUUCAGUCUAGGAAGGUUAACUCGCCGAAAGGUUGUACGUUGAUUUUCCUCAGACUUCGUCAGAAGCUCGUGCUGCACUUAACUGUGUGGUACGAUGUUCUGACUUUUUACCUUGAGGAAAGUAGAGUGUUUCAGGCAGGCUACCCAGCUUGAAUACAUUAGCAUGGAAUAAUGAAAUGGAUCUCGGUUCGAUUUCGUUGGUUCUAGAGCUGAGGUGAUGAUCAAUAGGAACAGGCGAAGGUAUUCGUACUUGAGAGUGAGGAGUGAAAUCCGAUGAUCUCUUAAAGACGAUCCGAGGCGAAAGCAUUUGUCAAGGAUGUUUUCAUUGA